rnacentral:rRNA from 1 species
UACGAAGGGGGCUAGCGUUGUUCGGAAUUACUGGGCGUAAAGCGCGCGUAGGCGGUGAUCCAUGUCAGAGGUGAAAGCCCGGGGCUCAACUCCGGAAUUGCCUUUGAAACGGGAUCGCUAGAGUCCGAGAGAGGAUGGCGGAAUUCCUAGUGUAGAGGUGAAAUUCGUAGAUAUUAGGAAGAACACCGGUGGCGAAGGCGGCCAGUCUGGCUCGGUACUGACGCUCAGGCGCGAAAGCGUGGGGAGCAAACAGGG